CAACUACUCCCUCUGUCCCAAAUUUCUUGUCUUAGAUUUGUCUAGAUAUGGAUGUAUCUAAUACUAAAAUGUGACUUGAUACAUUCGUAUCUAGACAAAUCUAAGACAAGAAUUUUGGGACG
rnacentral:pre_miRNA from 1 species